rnacentral:rRNA from 1 species
CCUACGGGGGGCAGCAGUUAGGAAUAUUCGGCAAUGGGGGAAACCCUGACCGAGCAAUGCCGCGUGUGAGAUGACGGCCCUAUGGGUUGUAAAUCACUUUUAUUUGGGAAGAAUUGUAAGCAUAGGAAAUGAUGUUUACUUGACGGUACCUUUUGAAUAAGCCCCGGCUAACUACGUGCCAGCAGCCGCGGUAAUACGUAGGGGGCGAGCGUUAUCCGGAUUUAUUGGGCGUAAAGCGUGCGUAGGCGGCUUGUUAAGUCCAGAAUUAAAGCCCGAGGCUUAACCUCGGUUCGUUCUGGAUACUG